GAUGAAGAACCGUAGCGAAAUGCGAUAAGUAGUGUGAAUUGCAGAAUUCAGUGAAUCAUCGAAUCUUUGAACGCACAUUGCGCCCUUUGGUAUUCCUUAGGGCAUGCCUGUUCGAGCGUCAUUUAAACCCUUCAAGCUCAGCUUGGUGUUGGGUGACUGUCCGCCGCCCCCGGGCGCGGACUCGCCCCAAAUUCAUUGGCGGCCGGUACGUAGGCUUCGAGCGCAGCAGAAACGCGAACUCGGGCCCGCGGUGUCGGCUCCCAGAAGCCAUCUCUUUUAUUUUGACCUCGGAUCAGGUAGGGAUACCCGCUGAACUUAAGCAUAUCAAUAAGCGGAGGA
rnacentral:misc_RNA from 1 species